CAGAUAGUACCUAAAUAGAUUGUAGAUAGAUACGGAAAAUAAAGGUAAAGGACUAACAAACAUUCAGACACAAUGAACAGACUGAUGGAAAUCUAAAGACAACCUAAGUGCAUGAGAUAUAAAUCUAAACUAAGGCAAAGGCUAAUGGAAGGUUAAGGCUAACCGAUGAACUAAAGUGUAACCUAGACUAAUAUAAGAAAAUAUAAACUAAAAUAUAG
rnacentral:lncRNA from 1 species